AUAUUGUACCAUACAAUCUUGUCUUGCACAUUACAUCACACUACAUCAUCCAACAAAGUCAAACAUACAAUCUUGUCUUGCAUAGUACAUUAUCCAACACAAGCUUACAUGAAUGUACACCAAGCAAUAUAUAGUAGUUUGUGUUUGAUAUAUAAUACUAAGGUUGGUGCACACAAUAGAAAAUGAAAAACCAAAAGCACGUCCACCAGGUUGUGGAGAACCAUUUUCCAUGAACUUAAGCCAAACACUUGUUGUGCCUAGCACUUCCUGAAAAAUAUAACAUGUAAUUAGGCAAGUGGAGAAAAUAAUAAAAAGUUGUUGUACAAUAGUAGUGUACUACUAGUGUGUGAGUACGAUCAUCUGUUAAAAAGAAUAUCUCUUCUACUUGCUAGCUAAAUUCUGCUUGCUAGGUUGAGUUGGAGAAAAUAAUAUAAAGCUAUUGUAUAAUAGUAGUGUACUACUGGUGUGUGAGUAGGAUCAUCUUUAAAAGAUUCUCUCUUCUACUUGCUAACUAAAUUCUGCUUGCUAGGUUGAGUCACUUGCUAGGUUGAGGCAGUGGGUUGCCAUGGGCAUAACUCUUCUUGUUUUCAGAAUCAUUCAACAAUUCCAUUUGCCUCAUCCUAGGGAGCACUAGAGAAUUAGUAAAUUUACCACUAGGGAGCACGUAUACUUCUUAUUAGUGGCAAGAUGACUAAAAUAAUUAGGUGCAGAUCAGUCGAGUGCAAAGGCCUCUACCUAGCAGCAUUGUCAUGUUUUUUUAUGAACAUAGCAGCACUGUCAUGUGACAAACAAGAUGACUAAGGCCUAGAAAAAAUGGGCUACUGUUACAUACUAAAUAUCUAACCAGAAACUUUCUUGGCUGGUCAAAACCUUCCACAUUUUUAUAGUAGUACAACAGUAAGUUAAAUCAUUACUUGAGGAUUGUCACUAGGUGCUGAAUUUAGUCAGUAGGUUUUACAGGUGGUCAAGGGACAUACCUGUAGUGCCCUUGAGAGGUGUGCUUGAUGCCUUUUUGUCUUCCCUCUUCUUGCAUUCCUUUAUCUAUCACAUAUAGGAUUAAUUGGAAACAUUGGUCAUGCAUCAGAGGUCGUGGAAAUGAAAAUUCUAUCAAGUCUAGUUUAUUACUUUAUUGAAUGGACUGUCCUCCUACAAUAGUGCUUGGAGUAGUUGAAAGGAUUGUCCCCCUAGCCACUGGUAACUCAGAUCUCAAUAUAGCAUAUAAUAUAACAUCCUUUUUAACCUGAAAUAAAUGAUGCGCCCUAAGAAUGUUAGAACAAGACAUGUAUAUGAGCUACAAAUUUCACUCAAGGGUGGUUGGCUCCAUGAGCUAUAAGACUGGCACUCAGCGCUACAAAUUUCAGAAGCAUUCACUACUCUGAAGGUAAUUAUCUUAUCUAAUUGACUAAUUAUCUUUUAUUUAUCAAUGGAAAUAUUUUUUUUCUUACUAAUUGCUGUGCAUAGUGCAAGGUGAUGCCUACUUGCCUGCAAUUUGGCAUUGUCUGGAUGGAUAUGUAUAUUGACAGACCUGUACCUUAUUAAAUCCAGUUUCUAGAAAAUGCAUUAAUGUCCGAGAGCUCCUAUAUCAGUUGUCCUAAUAUCAUUGUACUUGUAUUAACUCUGCUAUCGAACUUGUAGAUCGGUAAUUAUAAUCGAGGAUAUCAGGAAAUGUCAACACAUUGUUUUGAGAGACUAUGCAAGGAUCUUUGACAUCUGGUACCAUGCUAACUUCCUUUGUACACGUGUUCAAUCAAAUUCUUUAGUGCACUAUCUUGAAGUGUAGUGGACUUUUUAUUCUAUAACUGUUUGCAGAUUGCAAUAUGACUAUUUACAUGUAUGCAGUGCUGACUAUAAUCAACUAUAUAUGCACAGCUAAGCCUUAGUAUGCUAACAAUUUUCUGAUUUUAUUUUUCAACUGCGCAGGUUGCUAAAAAUUCAGUUCACCAUUUCACUGUCCAAAAAAUGAUGAUUCAAUUCGAUUCACCAUUUCACUCUUCAGGAAAUAGUUAGAUUUCCUUAUUUCUUCAGUACUUAUAUAAACUUAACACACUUGCCUGAUAUGGCACUUACUAUUUAGCAAAUUUUGUACUUUGAUCACUUGGAAGGCAUUCAAAAUUUCACAAGAAUCCUCUGUCGAGUAUCACUACUAUAAUGUGAUUGGUACUAAGUGGUUCUUUAGAAACAAGCAAGAUCAAGAUGGUGUAGUUGUGAGAAACAAAGCAAGAUUAGUAGCACAAGGGUACACUCAAGUUGAAGGUCUUAACUUUAGAGAAACAUAUGCACCGGUUGCAAGAUUGGAGGCAAUUAGAAUAUUAUUAGCCUAUGCUUAUGCCCAUGACAUUAAGUUCUAUCAAAUGGAUGUGAAGAGUGCAUUUCUUAAUUGAUACAUCAAUGAGUUUUUUUAUGUUGAACAACCUCCCGGUUUUGAAGAUGACAAGAAACCCAACCAUGUUUACAAGGUCAAGAAGGCAUUGUAUGGUUUGAAGCAAGCACCUAUAGCUUGGUAUGAGAGAUUGAGAGAUUUCCUUCUCUCUAAAGGGUUCAAGAUGGAAAAAGUUGACAUUACCCUCUUCGCCAAGAAGCUAGGCAAUGACUUGUUUGUGUUGCAAAUCUAUGUUGAUGAUAUCUUCUUUGGAUCAACCAAUCAAGACUUUUGUGAAGAGUUUGGAAAAAUGAUGGCAAAUGAGUUUGAGAUGUCCAUGAUAGGAGAGCUUAGUUACUUCCUUAGACUUCAAAUCAAGCAAAUGAAGGAUGGCACUUUUGUGAGUCAAGGAAAAUACAUCAAGGACAUGAUCAAGAAGUUUGGGUUGCAUGAAGCUAAACCAAUGAGCACCUAUGGGCACAAAUGAUCAAUUAGGUAGUGAUGCAAGUGGCAACAUGGUAGAUCAAAAGCUAUACCGGUCUAUGAUUGGAAGUUUGCUCUAUGUCACCGCUUCUAGGCCGGAUGUAAUGUUUAGUGUGUGCAAAUGUGCAAGAUACCAAGCUUCACCUAGAGAAAGUCACUUGAAGGCAACCAAAAGAAUAUUAAGGUCUCUUAAGGGCACUCAUGAUGUUGGAUUAUGGUAUCCCAAGGGGUCUAACUUUGAGUUGAUUGGAUAUUGGGACUCCGAUUAUGGUGGAUGCAAGAUUGAUAGAAUGAGCACAAGUGGCACUUGUCAAUUGCUAGGAAGGUCUCUAGUUUCAUGGUCAUCAAAGAAACAAAAUAGUGUUGCACUAUCAACCACCGAGGCUGAAUACAUUAGUGCCCGUAGUUGUUGUGCACAAUUGCUUUGGAUGAAAGCUACCUUGAAUGACUUUGGAAUCAAAUUCAAGAAUGUGCCUUUGCUAUGUAACAAUGAGAGUGCAAUCAAGAUGACACAAAAUCCGGUUCAACAUUCUAGAACCAAGCACAUUGACAUAAGGCACCAUUUCAUAAGGGACCAUCAACAAAAGGGUGAUAUUAGCAUUGAAAGCAUUGGCACCGAAUGUCAACUCGCCAACAUCUUCACAAAGCCACUUGAUGAGAAGAGAUUUUGCAAGUUGAGAAAUGAAUUGAACAUACUUGACUUCUCCAACUUAAAAUGAGUGCACCCCCACAUUUACAAAUGACAUGCCUCUCCUCCAACAAAGCAAGGUAAAGUUGGUUGACAUAGCAUUCAUGCUUUGCUAAGGACAUGUUUAGAACAUAUAGACAUGCUUACAUGACAAUAGGCUCAUUCAUGAAAAUCAAAAGGAUUUGAUGUAUGUAUGGUACCACUAUUGUCUCUAUGGUUGUUUGAUCUAGUGGUAGCAUAUGACAUGUUUGUGAGCUUGCAAACCUAGUGUUGAAUCUAGAAUAUGAGCUUAUGAUGUGUAAUUCAACAUGGUCAAGAUAACCCUUAUACUUCAUGAGGUGUGAAAAAGCUUGUCCUUGGAUCAAACCAAAUUACAUGUUCUAGGCAAGUAAUCUAGAUUGAACCAUAAUUUGACCCUCACAUUGAUUGACUUAAUUCUCACUAAAAUUUGAACCUUUGUGGUCAUUGAUGACAAAGGGGGAGAGAAACAAAGAUAAAGUCAAAAAGGGGGAGAGAAACAAAAAAAACAAGGGGAGAAAAUUUUUUUAAACUUGAGCACACAAAUAGGGGGAGCAAGCUCAUGAACCAUUUGUUGCAUUUUGAAUGUGCACUAACAUAAUGAGGUGUUGCAAUGCAAGUUUAAAUAUACUACUCUUAUUUGAUUGGUGUUUGCUAGAAAUAGAACUUAAAUGAUGCUUUGAAUUCUAGCAUAGAGUUUUAUUUUCAUGUGGUAUCUAGACAUAUAAUGUGAUCUCACGAGGUAUCUUGAGUUUUUGAUGUAUGUCUAGCUACAUUGGUGCUAAGGAUGGUAUAUUGGCAACUCUGAUUGGUAUCAUGCUUCAAAGGUCCAUUCUAUAUACCUUAGCAUCAUUUUGGUAGUAGUAAAUCUCACAAAACUCUAAUUCAUGCAUAUGUGCAAACUUGAACCAAACUCAUGGAAGCACAUAUGUAAGGGGAGCUAGUACAACCAAAACCGAAAUUGAAAUGAUUGUCGAACCUUGUCUCAUGAUUAAAAUGCUUUGGACAAGCAAUUUAAGUUCAUUAUGAUUUCAUUUCAUAUCUUUGUGAUGGUUGUCAUCAAUACCAAAAAGGGGGAGAUUGAAAGCCCAAGUUUGGUUUUGGUAAUUAAUGACACCAAGUUGCUAAUGCCUUGUGUUUAAAUGAUUUGAGUUAGGCAUAGCAACACAUGUGAUGAAGGUUCAUGGUGGCAUGGAAAGGUGGCCACAUGAUCACAAAGGGAUCAAGCAUGAAGUGAAGAUCAUGGUGAUAGACGAGGAGCAAAGUUAUCAAGGCAAAGGUAUAAACAUAGGGUUUUACUUUUGCCGGUCUAAGAUGAGUAGAGAAGUCAUUGAUCGGGUUUAGGAUAGAUAGCCGACUAUCAAGAGGGGAAAUCACGGUCAUCUCUCGAAUCAAGUGCUACUAGGUCCAUAUCUUGAGCAUAUGCAUUAGGAUCUAGUAAAGUGCUAACCUAACUCCUUUGGGAAAAUGUUUGUGAAAAGCUAACACACAUGCACUUUGAUGGUGGACACUUGUUGGUGUUAGCACAUUUGCAAAGGAGGUGGAGUUCCUAGGGUAGAGAGGGGUUUAGGUUCCUCUCUCCCUCCCACCGAGCUUGCGAGGCGGGAUUCAGCGCUUUUGAGAAAAUUAAGUUUAUAUUUUCUAUUGCGUCGGUGGGAAAUUUGGAGAAGUUGCGGAACCGGACGCAGGGUGCGGAGGCACCGGACGCUGGCCUCAGCGUCCGGUGUGCUGUCAGUGCUUGACCCUGCUAGGGUUGAGCACCGGACACACUGCACCGGACGUAGGGUGUUCCCUGUUCAUGCGUCCGGUGUGGCUUGUCUUAAACAGAGGGUAUCUGUCUGAGAGCACCGGACGUUCUGAGUGUGUCCGGUGGUGUGCGUUCGGUGUGAGGGUGUUCUGUAACCCUCUCUGUGCAUAAGUCCAGUGAGCACCGGACCGUCUGGUGCCCCGAGUCCGGUGAGGUUGUGAGUUUGACAAACUCUCUGCACACGAUACCGGUGAGUACUAGACGCAUCCGGUGCCCACUUGGUCGCGUCCGGUGGUUCGCAGGUGACCGUUAGAGUUUGACGUGCAAGAUUCAAAGGAGAACACAUGGCCAACCCCAGAGCACUAGACGCAGGGGGUCGAGCAUCCAGUGAUCACUUGGUAGCAUCUGGUGCCCCCGAUUUUAGCCCAGUUAAAGUGGCCAACGGCUAGUUCUUUGAGGGGGCUUAUAAAUAAGAGGUGGCCGGCUUUGGGAGGCCAACUCUUGCACAUUUGAUUACUUGAGGCAUAUAUUGAGCUAGAGAACACUCCCUCCACUGAUCGCCUUGCUUGAUUGCUAAUCCUAGUGAGAUUGAGUGAGAUUCAAGUGUAUUGCUUUGAGAGUUGCAUUUAGUGGCACUUGAUUCUUGAGUUUGCUGCAAAUUUCUUAUUACUCUUGGGUGUUUCCCGACGUCCUAGAUGGCUUAGAGCAGCGGUGGUGUUGAGCUCGUGAUUGGAGAUUGUUUCGAGCCUCACCAAGUGAUUUGUAAGGGGUUCUUGAGCCUUCCCUGCGGGAGAUCGCAAUUGGCUACUCUAGUGGAUUGCUCGUGGCUUGGAGGAUCCCUAUCUUGUGAGUGGAUGUGUGGCACCCGCUGAGGGUUUGGCUUUGGAUUGCCAAUCAGCUCGUGAUCCAUCAAGUGGGUGUAUCGCCACAACGAGGACUAGCUUGCCGGAAAGCAAGUGAACCUCGGUAAAAAAUCUUGUGUCAUCUCUUGCCGAGGAUUCUCUUGUAAUUGUGAUUGAUUGAUUGGUUAUAUUUCUACUCUACAACGUUGGUAUAACAAUCACUCCCCUCUCCUUUACUUGUGUGCAUACCUUGCUAGUUGUGUAGCUUGUUUAGCUUAGCUAUCUUGUUUAGGAGUGUAGCAAGCUUCUAGUUGUGCUUUCUUGUUGUAACUAGUGUUUAGCUUUCUUGCUAGACUUGUGUAGGUGGCUUGCAUAGCUUAGUUGUGCUAGUGCUAGAAUAGCUUUGCCUUUUGUUUUACUAAUCAACUUGACUAGUUGAAGUUUGUAGAAAAUUUAAAUAGGCUAUUCACCCCCCCUCUAGACAUUUGGACCAUUCAAGUGGUAUCGGAGCCAAGGCACCAUUUAUUUGAGGCUUAACAACCCACAGUGAAGAAAUGGCUCUUAGUUUGCAUGUCAACAACACCAAGAAGGCACCUUACUUUGAUGGCACCAACUAUGCUUAUUGGAAGGUCAAGAUGACCGCCCAUCUCAAGUCAAUCAAUAGAGAAGUUUGGAAGGUGACCGAAACAAGGUUUGAGGUUGCAAAUAAGAAUGCACCUACACCGGUUGAAGAAAAGAAGCUUCAAUGCAAUGACAUUGCAAUAAGUGCUCUUCAUGAAGCUCUUGAUGACAAGACCUUUGAGCAAAUCAAGAACAUUGAGAUUGCUCAUAAUGCAUGGGCAAAAUUAGAAGAAACAUUUGAGGGCACCAAGGGAACCAAGACUGCCAAGGCAUACAUCCUCCAAGAAAAGUUCUCAAGCUUCAAGAUGCAAGAAGAUGAAAGUGUGCCGGAGAUGUUUCACUGGUUGCAAGUUAUUGUGAAUGAGCUCAAGGCACUUGGGGAAGAAGUGAAGGAUAGUCAAUUCUCUAUGAAGUUCUUGAGAAGAUUGCCCAAGAGAUUUGACACUUUGAUCACCGUGCUAGUCAAGACAACACUUUGUGAAUCAACUCCCCAACAAGUGUUCCAAGAAGUGAUGACCGAUGAUGCUUAUAGAGAAGAUGAUGAGAAGGAUGAGUUGAUCAAGAAGAAGGAUGGUGAGAAGAAGGAUGAUGAGAAGAAGAAAAGUGUGGCAUUCAAGGCCUCCUCAUCCAAGGGCAAAGCCAAGAUAAUCAAGUGAAUAAGAAGCAAGCUCUUGUGAUAGUGAUGAAGAUGAGGAGAUGGCUCUUCUUAUCAAAAGAUUUGGCAAGUUUAUGAAGAAGAAUGGCUAUCGGGCAAGAAGGAAGAAGAGCUCUUCCAAGAAGAAUGACCAUUCCAUGAGGUGCUUUAGAUGCCAUAGCAAGGAUCAUCUCAUCGCCAAGUGUCUUUAUGAUAGUGAUGAUGAAGAUGCUAUCAAGAAGGAAAGAAAGAAGCAAGAAAAGAAGGAAGGCUCAAACAAGAAGAAGGGUGAUGCCCAUGUUGCAACUUGGGAUAGUGAUGACUCCUCAUGUGAUGAUGAGAGCACCAAGAAGAAGGCGCAUGCUAGCAUUGCAAGUGAACCUCGGUAAAAAAUCUUGUGUCAUCUCUUGCCGAGGAUUCUCUUGUAAUUGUGAUUGAUUGAUUGGCUAUAUUUCUACUCUACAACGUUGGUAUAACAAUCACUCCCCUCUCCUUCACUUAUGUGCACACUUGCUAGUUGUGUAGCUUGUUUAGCUUAGCUAUCUUGUUUAGGAGUAUAGCAAGCUUCUAGUUGUGCUUUCUUGUUGUAACUAGUGUUUAGCUUUCUUGCUAGACUUGUGUAGAUGGCUUGCAUAGCUUAGUUGUGCUAGUGCUAGAAUAGCUUCGCCUUUUGUUUUACUAAUCAACUUGUCUAGUUGAAGUUUGUAGAAACUUUAAAUAGGCUAUUCACCCCCUCCUCUAGCCAUUUGUACCUUUCACUUCUCUUGGCCAUUCCACUCACAACUCCUCAUUUGUGUGAAGUUGUUUCAGUGAGAUUGCACUCCGAGAGAGUUGUUUUGAAGUUGGGUAGUGAUAAAAAAAUCUAGAAAAGAGUGGAGGUGCUGUGAAAAUUUAGAAAUCUAAGAGAGAGCUCUUAAAAUUGUUCAGUAGAAACCCUCUAGGUGAUCUUUACCUCUCAAACGGCUAACUCUCUAAAGUUUAACCCUUUCUCUAACCUCCUACUUGCAAGUUCUCUUUGUGUGUGUUGUUUUUCUGAGCAGGAUGAAUUUCAUCAACCGCAUGAAAAGGAGCCAUUCCACCUACUCUAACCGAUCCUCCAUGGACACGGACACGCCACCGACAUCAUCAAGCACCUCACCAGCUCGGCCGUCCAUAGAGGUUUACACCCUCUUGGAUGCUAAGGACAUCUGCCUCCACGACAUGGAGAAACAAAAAUUCCACGCCAUCAAAGAUAGAAAAUUCAAGCUGAAUGUCGCGUACCAUCCGCAUCUCCUCCAGGCCACGGGUAUGGAUUUUGAAUUUGAGUUGAUUUUUAAUGCCCUAGGUGGAAGAAUUUUGCACUUGUUAAUGCACAUGAGGUCGCGCUGCUUACUAUGGAAUUUAUGUGCACGUUAGAACUUCUAGAGGGACAGGCUAGGGUAGCUUUUCAAUUGUUUAAUAAAAGGUUUCAACGCUCUUGGAGAUAUCUAAGUGAUUCGCUAGGAUUUGACUCUAAUUGUGCUUUAGAUCUUAAUGAAGCCCUACCUAAUUUUCAGAAGGGACAAUUCUGGAAAGAGAUCACAAAACUAGACACAUGCCAUAAACCCAAAAAUAGCAAUUUAGAGCUCCCCACACUUCGUUUUAUUCAUAGAUUCAUAUCUGCGACUCUCUUCCCUCGACCUGAAACACAAACCAUUCGGGAAGAUGAAUUAAAGAUAUUGUUUGCUAUUGUCAAAAGACAAAAAAAUUCUCCCGUGAAAGCAAUGAUAUAUCAGUGGUUGGAUGUUUUCGGGCAUAUGAAAGGAGACAGAAUGUGCACCUAUGGUUUUUCGUAUAGCCACAAAUUUGGGGUUAAAUAUUGACAAUCGAUAACGUCAAAUAUUAUUAGAACUUUAAACCCAAAGGAAAACAUAAAUACACACUAAUAUAGGGUUCAGACUAACAAUUUCUACGAGUUUUGCAUAUUCUGAGAUUUUCAGGGAUUAUUUUAGAAAAUGCUGAAAAGAAGGAUUAAGGUGCUAAUUCGCCAAGAAACGUAUCUGCGACGGAAGGACGACACUAGAGGAUUCAGGAAGACUCCAGAAGACACCCGGCACAACAGGGGAGCAACCGGCUGCCAGGUGGGGCCGGCCAGCCCCCUGUGAUUAGGGUUUGGCCUCCCCUUCCGGAAGCUUCCUCCACCGCAUCUGAGGAUCCAUCUUGGUCGCUGGUUAAGUCGGUUUGAUCCGACGGCGCAUGUGCACUCCACCAGGCUAUAAAUAGAGGAGCAGACCCCCUCCUAGAGGACACCCUUCAUUCCUCCUACUUCAUUUGUCAAGAGUAGUCAGAAGUUAGGGUUUCUAGAGAUUAGAAGUAGUGCUUUAGUUCUUCAAGUUUUUAGUUAGGCAUCUAGCGAGGUUCAAGUAGAGAUCGGGUGCUCCGCUUGGGAUUCCAGAUCCGUCUUCUAGAAAUUGAUAAUAUUAUCUUGUAUUUCAUUAUGACUUUGCUCUACUUUAAAAUAUUGCUAUUUAUUCAGUUCUUAGUUUAUUCUAGUUGCAUAUUUGAUAUAGAUGUGGUUUAUGAUGAUUAUUGUUAUGUGAUCAUAAAGCGCCUGAUUUAGUACCCGAGUGAGUCAGGUGGUGCACAGUAUGUAGAUGUGGUGUCUAGAUAUUUUGUGUACCUAUGGAGGCACCCUGACGUGCCGGGUCAUGUGGUAGUCCGCGUAGGUGACAGCUGCGUUGGUUCCUCUGUAGUCCACCCCCCGUACGUAGGACUAGCAGAGCGCGGUCGCAAAGGAGGUGACGGUUGCGUCUUAAAACCCUCAUUAGUUGAUGCUCCUUAUGAUGUUUUCUGAGUUUAUCACACUAUAGAUGAAAAUGUGUAGCAUGGCGUAGGCUGUAGACUUUAUAGUAGUAAUUACAUAGAUUUCUUUUAUUUGAAUAUCAUGAUUGUCUUGCUACAUUAGUGAGUCUUUAUUUUCUACCUCUGGAAUACCAUUACUUCAUUACUCAGUUAUCAUUUAUCAUAUUUUAUCAAUUAGUUAUCGCUAAAGCAUUAGUAUUAUUGGUUAUGAUAGAUUUGCAUAAUUAUAAUUUCCUUAGUCCAUACAAGAUCACCUAUGCCUAAUGAAUAGAAUGCUGCUUUAUCCUUUUGGCAUAAAAUAAAUCAAUGAUACUCGGAAUACUUCCUGGGUGAAAUGCUGCAACGGGAGAAUUAUCUGUGCGCUUACGGAUAUAUUCUAUUUAGAGUUAUUGCAUGUAGAUUAUUUUUAUCCUUGGCUUUGGCAUCAUGUUAGGGAUGACAACUUAAUAUGAAGUGAUGCUAAAAAUACCAACAUUAACAGAAGCCAGUCUUGUCACCUACAUUCAAGAGCCUCGAGUAUAUAUGGAUUUUGAUUUCUUUAGAUAGGCUCAAAUUUUGGAGCGAACCAAUAAUGUUAUACACAUGAUCUAUCGUGGUAUGGCUACCGAGAUUGCACUUCCUAACCCGGGACUUGGAGUCUAUACCGCUUGCAACUAUCUUAUUGGUCUGCAGCCUCCACCACUUGGGAGAAGAAGUGCCUCCAUGCGGUUCACGAACAUACCACAGACGUACUACUAUGGAGGAGAUCUGACACCUAAAGGACCGGCAUACAUGGCGUACGCGUACCACCUAGGAAUGUCAAGACAGCCCCAUGGAUCACUUGGUCAAUGGGAGCCAUCACAGUCACACCACUCUUUGUCUUCUUCUUCACGUGCAUAGUACAAAGAAUUUCGCAGGUCCAUAUCACAUGACUCGCAGCCCCGACGGUCGGUGGACCGUCCUAAACCAUCACGAAGACAUCCUGACCCGCCAAGACACUCUGUCUCUGGUGUGGAGCGGGAACUUGGGUGGCUCAACCUGCGAUUGGACACCAUUACGGAGGAGCAAGCAAACAUGAAUCGAAGACUAGGAGAGCAACAACAAUGGAACACUCAAAUGGGAGCCUACAUCAGCCAUCCAGGAGAACCAGGCCUGGGAGAAGGAAAAUUGGAGUGCCUUCUACCGAAUCCCAGGUAACUACGACUUCAGGCCAUGUUACUACCGAUGAGCAAGACCAGCUUGGGGGAAUCCCCUGUUUCCUUCUUUUUAACCCCCCACUUAAGGCAGGAGGUCUCAAGUUCUGUUGCACCACCUUUCGGGAGGUAACCGACGAUCCAGGUAUCCCGUAAAAUCCUGGUAUUUAUCUAUCUAUUAUUAGUAUACUUCAGCUAGUAUGAUAAAUUUCGUGUUGAAUAACGAAAACCAAAUAAAAAUUUAUGUUUUACUUUUGAUUUAGUGAUAAAUAAAAAAACUAAAAACUUGAAGUAGGAACCAUGAUGGAAAUGAUGAAUAAUUGCUCUGCCUUAAUUCCUUAGAAAUGCCUAGUAUUCAAUUCUGAAUUCCUCUGAGUUUUGGACUAGACUACUUUGAUUUAAAAAUUUAUUCUUGUGGGUAGCAACUGCUGUACUUAAAAGUCUAGGCAAUUGAUUGAUAUGAUAUUGAAAAGUCUAAGCUGCUAUCAUCUAAUUCCUAGAGAACUUGAAUUCUAGAGAAUUAUUUUAUGAAAACUUAAAUUAUGAUGAGUUCCUACAUGAUAAGAGUUUUUAUUCCUACCACAACCAUUUAUGAUUAUGUUUAGACUAGGAAGACCGGCUCAUAGGCUACUUGUUCUUUAUUGAGUUUAGUCAACCCGAGUAGACCCUUGUAGAGAGGAUAUUCAUGCCCCCAAGAUCAAGACCACGUACACCCACAUAUAUCUUGCUGCUCCUACACUAGGAGUAUGCAAAAACAUGCCUUUUUCCACCCAAAAAUCUAUCUCCUACACUAGGAGAAGACCGAAAAAUAUUAUUAGGUUUGCAAAUAAAUGCUCCAAGAUUGUAAUUCUUUUCUCCAAGUUUAUCAUAUCCUAGAGGCAUUAGAUCUCGUUUAAAAAAGAGAAGAAAAAAAGGAAGAAAAGAAAAGUCUAUGCCUCAGGAUAUUAUCCUAGCCAUCAUAGAAGGAGAAGAAGAUAUUUCAAGACCUCCAUAGCAAAAGCUCUUUAUCAGAGGUAAUCUUUCUAGGAGCAAAGUAGAAUUAGGAUUAGCCACUAAAUAUUCCCACACACAUGCAUAUCUUGAUCUACGGGUAUGACUUUCCCCUCCUUGGAUCCUGGUUUUGACUAGACAAUACAUAUAUGGUAAGUAUGCUAUAUCCUUGAAUUACCCUCAGCUCCACAUAAGCUUAUUAAUUAUGAUAGGGUGAGAGAAGAUAGGUACAAUGUUUCAUUGCCUUAUGUUGGAAAUACCACAAAUUUAGAGAGAUGGCAUACAUCAUUGUUGCCUUGAAAGGAAAUCCAAAAAUACCACAUAUGAGAGACUUGAAAGGAUCAUGUAUAGGAAUCUCUGAGUUUUAUUUCAAAAAGCUUUGAAAAACUCUAGAAAAGAAAGUUGAUCAAAGACUUUGAGAUAGAUCUUGACUACAUUGUUCUGUCUUUCAAUUACUCAAGACUCGAGAGAAGGCAAUAAGCUCCACAGUUGAAGGUAAUAUGAGUAAGUUUGAAAGGUCCGAGUAGUCUAUCCAUUAUUUAGAAGAUAAUUCCUUUUUGAAUACAUGAGUAAUUUUGAGGUGUGAAGCAUUGUAGCAACUCCUGAUCUAUCAUAGUUUGCUAAGAGACUAGCAAAGGUUAAGCUUGGGGGAGCUUGUUGAUGGUUCUUAACAUAAACAUUAUACCAUUAAUUAAUGCAUGAUGUAACAGGAAAAGAGUUAUUAGUGCACAGUUGUAGGGUUUAACUCUAACAAGUUCCACGAGUUGUGUUGUUCUCACUUGUUUUGCAGAUUAUCCAUAUUUUGCUACAUAAAAGUAUUUGAAACAGUGAAACAGAGCACACCAUUGUGAAGAGCUCGACGAGACGAUCGAAACGGACCUAUCAUUUGACAUAGUUGGAGACUCGAAGGAAGAGUCCUACAUUAAUACAACCAAGAAUCUUCUAGAAGACACCGGAGACAUCACCAAGCAAGAGUUUAUAGGGACUAACAUAACAAUUUCCAUAGCUUUGAUGAAAUUCUGUAUUUUAGGGAUUUAAACAAAGAAGUCUGAGAGGAUAAGGUUAAGGACCCAAACCAAAUCACAUCGGAAUCACGCAAGAAUUGACGGGAACCUAAUAGAGGACACGAGAAGACAUGGGAACGAAGGUGGCGACCAACCCAUGACAAGUGGGGCUGGCCGGCCCCACCCCCAAGGCGGUCAGCCUAGGCCCACCUGGCAUCCUCCUCUCCUUCACGCGGCGGCUCCUCCCCGAACCCUAGUUCGCAUCUACGCCCUUGAUUGAAGUCGGUUUGAUCCAAGGGCCAUGGCGCAUCCCACCAGACUAUAAAAGAAGGCGCAGACCCCCUGGAGGCAUUAUCAUUCAAUACUGAUUCAAUUUAGAUCUCUUAGAGGGUUAUGGUUUCCAAUUAGAAGUUGAGAGCUCUACUUCAAGUUUAGGUUUAGGUUUAGCUAGAUACAAGUAGAGUUGAGGCAUAGCUUCGACGGCUAAGGCACCUCGGUGGUGGCGACUCAGGGUUGUGGAUCAACGUCAGGAGAUUUGGAAACUUUGCCUUGUAUCUUGUAAUUAUGACUUUAUGCUACUUCAAUAAUAUCAUUAUGUUCUCGUUUAGUUUGUUCUUAGUUUAUUCCUGUCCUAUCUUUGAUAUAGUCAUGAUCCGUAUGAAAUUUAUGCAUAUGUUCGUAAAGUGCUUAGUUCAACUUCGGGUUGAAUUAGGUGGUAGAAGUAAUGUAGGCAUGGUGUCUAGAUUAUAUUUACCUGCGGAUGCACCCUAUUUUCUGGGCCAUGUGGUAGAUCACGAAGGUGGCUUGUAUAGCUUUGUUGAGUCCUCUAUAGUCGACUCCAUGAAUCUAGGACAUGUACAACCCAGUUGCUUAGGGAUGAAUUGCUCUAUUCUUGAAUUCCCUGAAGUAAUGUUCCUUAUGAUUAAAUGGAAGAUUGAUUAUGCUAUAAAUGAUAAAGAGUAGAAUAGGAACUCUGAGACUUGAUAGAUAGGAUAUAACUUAGGAAUUAAAUCUCUAACCGUGUCUCCUGACCUAGUUCCUACUUGAUUAGACAAGUUCUUUCUAAUUAUGGAUUCCCUAUCAUUAUCUAUUUAUCUUAUCAUUAUCAGUAUUACCUUACCCCUAUUUAAGAUAGAAGUGGUUGAUUGAUCCAUAUCUAGAGAGAGUAUGUAUAUUUGUAAUUCUUUUACCCAUAUUGUUCCUUUCUCAUUUUAUUCCCCAUAUUUAUGAUAAGUAGUCUUCCCAGUGGUAGAAUUAUAAGUAACAAUACCUAGGACCUUCCUGUGUAAAAUGCUACAACGGGAGUAUUUUAUCUGUGCACUUGCAGAUAACCUUUAUUAUUUUUCUAUAGUGCCAUGAUCAUAAAUACAAUCGUGUCUCUUAUGUCGUGUUAGUUCCGAUAGAACCUUCUGUCGGUAAUUGAUAUAUGACACAAACCUGGAAAACUUUUUUGCAUUAGUGAUUUGAUUUAUUCUGACUUUUAAUGGAGAAUUACUGAUGUAAAGUAUGUCAGAGGUGUUUUGUUGCAGAAGAUGGUCGACCCAAUCAUUUCACUUAUGAUUUGGCCUAGUAGACCCAAUCAUGAUAUUGAAGGAUGGGACCUUUUCUCGAAGGUUGGAAAGUUCCAUUCGGGGAUGACAACCUAGUGUGUGCGGUAUAAGAGAUGCCAACAAACAUUAAUGCUCGAGAUACAAUGCCACUCCAAAACAACCUCCAAGUAGAGUUGUUUGAUGUUUGGGAAAUUGACUACAUGGGACCAUUCCAAAGAUCUAGAGACGCUGAAUUCACUUUGGUGGCAGUGGAUUAUGUGUCCAAGUGGGUAGAAGCAUUACCAUGUCAAGCUGCCGACUCCAAGCAUGCCAAGAAGAUGUUCCAUGAAGUGAUAUUCCCAAUAUUUGGCACAACAAGACUAGUCAUAAGUGAUGGAGGAUCACAUUUCAUUGAUAAGAGCUUCAAACAAUUCCUCAUAGAAUAUGGAGUUAAGCAUAAUGUUGCAACUCCAUACCAUCCUCAAACCAGCGGUCAAGCAGAAACAUCAAAUAAGCAAAUCAAGAACAUUCUACAGAAGACUGGAUGAGAUGGAAAAGAAAUGCAAGUACAAGCUCCAUGAUGCACUAUGGGCAUAUCGAACUGCAUACAAAACACCCAUAGGCAUGUCACCUUAUCAGCUUGUAUAUGGAAAAACAUGCCACUUGCCUAUUGAAUUAGAAUUCAAAGCUCAUUGGGCAAUCAAGAAACAGAACAUGGAUCUCCAUCUAGCCGGUAAGAAUCGUUAGAUGCAAAUAUCUGAGCUGAAAGAAUGGAGAGAAAAGGCUUAUCAUAGCUCCAAGAUCUACAAAGAGAGAACCAAAAGAUGGCAUGAUAAGAGAAUAAAGCACAAAGAGUUCAAGCCUGGAGAUAAAGUUAUAUUAUUCAACUCAAGAGUAAAGCUCUUCGGUCAUGGAAAGCUUAGAAGCAAAUGGGAAGGACCAUUCAAAGUGAUUGAUGCUGCAUCGCAUGGUGCCAUCACAAUCCAAGAUGAUAGAGUUAACACAUUCAAGGUAAAUGGUCAAUGUUUGAAAGUUUUUCUUGAACCUGAAAAUAUAGAAGAAAUAUAUGUAAUUGAGUUUUUCCAUUUUAAAGAUCCAAUCUAAAUUUUCAAAAGGCUCUAGACAACUAAAACUCUUUGGACUAACACCUAAUCAGUUCUACAAGUUUUGUUGUCUAUUUGAGUUUCACAGGUUUCAAAGGAUCAAGAAGAGCUAACAGGCAGAAGGAUGUCAUGUCCCCUGUCAGAGUGCUAUCCACAUCAGUCAAGUGAUGUUUCUAACAACAAGUACCCACUAUACUCCAAGUGGAUUAGUACGCCUUCACUGCCCGUUAGCAACCUCAGUAGACCAUGUCAACAUCCAGCUUGGGGGACAGCAACCCCAGAAUAUCGAGCUAAGUAUACCUCACUUGUCUAUUUAUUUCUAGUGCAUUAUGAUAAGAUGUAACACCCAAAAUUUUGAUUUCAAUUAAUAGGAAUUAAUUUGAUUUAUUUAAGUAUUUUUGUGAGCAUUUGAAUCUAGCAAAUAAAUUAUUUUGUGAAAAUUAAAAUUCAUCAUAAGGGUAGCAACAUGCUUUUGCAUUCAUGCUGAGAAUAGCAUUUAUUUUUGUGUUGUUUGUUUCUGUUUUUAUCUUAUUUGUUUAUGUUCAAAAAUUCUUUUUGGAAAAGAAAAUAGAAAAAGAAAAAAAAAUAACAAAGGGGGAGAAACCCCUGGGAAGACUAGGCCGAGGCCCAGCCAGCCCCGCGCCUAGUCUCUCCCCUUCCCGCAUCGCGAGCACGGCCCACGACGCGGCCCAGCGCUCCCCCGCAGCCCGAGCCAGCCUAGAAGCGCGUCCCCCUUCUCCCUUCAGCUGACAACCGGGCCCCGCCCCGUUCUCUCUCUGCCGCACUGGCCCCGCGUGUAAGUCACCUCUCCUUGCUUCCUUCUUCUCCAGCGCACGCAGCCGGGCCAGACUCGACACCGAUCACGGCAAAAUCCCGAUUUUGACGGGAUUUGAUCCUCUCGAUCCCUAUAAAGGCCACCAACCUUGCCCCGCACCUCUUUUCUCUACCCGAGCGUUUUUUUCCAAGCCCUAGCCGUCAUUUGGUUGCAAACCGGAUCUCGCCGAGCCGCGAGUCAGGUCGCCACCGUCGCGGGUCAUCCCUGUCCCUUCCCAGCUCGAACAAAACACGUGGGUGAGUGCGCAAGAAGCUUCUCUACGUUUUGGUGUGCUCGGAUUCGUCCCGGGUGCUCGGCAGCAGGCUUUUCCCGAACUCCGGCGAGGGGCGCUAAUGGCACCGCCGCGGGGAGCACAGCUCCGGCGAGGUGGCUGGUUGUUUCUUCCCUGCGCGAUUUCAACCAUCGGAUCGGAAUUCAACAGCCCAGAAACAAAGAUACCCCUUCGAUGUUUAUUUUGCUAAGGAACCCCUGCAUUUCUUUAUUUUUUUAACCCGCAGUCCAAGGCGCCCUGAGUAAAAUACGUUUUCCAACUGCGAAAACGUAUUCUAACCGGCUGAGUUCAAAAUACGCUUUCUGCUAUUUACAAGUUUGCCAUUGAAAUUGUUUUGGUCAUAAAAUGCUCAUUUUAACUCUGUUUUUGUCCAUUCAAAUUUCGUUAGAUUCGUAUUCACGAUCUCUACAUGUUAGAAGUAUUAGUUUACUGUUUUGAAAAAUUUUAAUUCUGCAGUAGCAUUUAAUUAAUUAUUUCUCUAUAGGAAAUCUUGAAAAAUUCAUAUCUUCUACGUUUUAAUUCCGAUUUUCGUGAACUUUAUGUUUGUGUGAUCGUAGCGCUGCAUAGAAUAUUUUCAUAAACUUUUAUACUUGUUUUACCACUGUUUGGUGUAAUGUUCUAAUUAUAGCUUGUUUGCUUCGUGUAUGAUUGUCUACAUUGGAUUGCGUGUUGUUGAUUGAUGAUCGAGUAUAGACGGUGAGCCGUACGUUGUUGAUCGAGACCAAGCCUUUGAAGACCAGCAGGCUUAGGAGAGCUUUGAUCAAGGCAAGUAUAACUUGGGAUCAUCCUUGUUACCUACACACUUUUAAUACAUAUAUCAUAUGCAUGUGUCCACCUUGAUGACCUUAGUAAAAUCAUAGAUGAUUGUUGUUGACGGUCCUUAAUGCUCACAUUAAACCAUCAACUAAUCAUAGAAAAGGACUUAAAUGCAACCAACACCCAGACUUAGGGUUUUAUCUGACAGAAUUCCACGAGUUUUGGUGUUUGUCUAUUUCUGCAGGGUGUUAUCAGGAAAUACGGAAGAAAGGCCCACACGUCGGGAUUACAUAGAGAUAUUAACGUGCCGCGCAAUUUUCUAUCAUCUAGAACACUCCAGAAGCCACGGGACCGAAGCGGAGGCCGAGGGGGCUCAGGCACUGGGCGCCCGCCCUACCUUACUGGGCGCCCGCCCUCCCCCGUGGACCAAACAGAGUCCAAUUCGGGGACAACGCUCCACCGACCUAAAGGAUCAAGGAAAACCACACGAUCAAUGUCGGUUUGAUCCGACAGCCCAGAUUCACUUGAAGGGACUAUAAAACCAGACCCCCCUGGCCCCUGGAGAUCAUACCUCUUCUACAGAAUCAAAGCUAGGGUUUCAAUUCUUCAUCCAAGUAGAGAGGAUCUCUCUAGUUCUUCUAGUUCUACCUCUAGUUCAUCUAGAUCUAGUUCUAGUUCAUCUAGUUCUAGUUCUAGUUCUUCUAGUUCUAGUUCUAGUUAGUUCUAGUUGUAAUCUAGAAAAUAGGGAGAGAGAAGAGGAGAGAGGAGGAGGAGCCGGAUCUGUCGGAUCUUCCUCAACAUUGUACUUUUGCAGCAACUGGUUCGUUCUUCAUCGUUCUUCAGGUUCUUCAAUUCAUAACUCCUGAGUUCUCUAAUUACUUUUAUUUACAUUCAAGUUAUUUAUUGGAUUCCCGCUUGCAUCAAGUGCUCUAGUCUUUAUAACGCUAGAGUAGUAAUUAAUAGAUUAGACGUGGUGUUUAGUCUUGCGAUUACCUGGAAUUGCACCCAAUCCUACGGAUUGUUGUGGUAGCCCUAGGGUAGUGACAGCCCUAACGGUCGACGUAUUCCACCACGUUCGGAUCGGUGUUUGUAGGACCGUAGUCAGUCCUUCCUACCCCCUUCUCAUCUCUUUCCGUGGUUAGUGCUCUGAUGUCCCGAUAUAGAUAAUCUUGAAGUAAUUCUUGAUUCUUAGAUCAACUAGAGAACUUUCAGGAAACUUCCUCUCUUCCCACCAAAAAUAAUUAUAUAGUUAUCCUUGGGCGAUCUUGGAUCUUAAUUAGUACACUCACGUUCUCUGUGGAAAAUCGAUACUCUGGAAUACUCUCGGAUGAAAGCUACAUCGGUAUCCGUGCGCUUGCGGAUUUUUCUGUUUGCGUUUAAAAUACCCAACAAGCUUUCUGGCGCCGUUGCCGGGGAACGGUAGCUGUGCUAGUUUCGAACCAAGUCGUCCGUGUAUCCUUUUUCUUUUCCUUUUUCACCACACUCACCUUAUCAUUUUCACCAUACCACAUGGAUUUCACUCUAAGCAUUAAUGAGCAUGGAAUUUAUUUCAUAGCCACUUCAUUUACUCCAUGCGCAUAUGCAACAUCUUCACAAUCCAUUGGUCUCUCUAACAUCACCACAUUCGAGAUCUCCAACCCCCUCAUCCUUUCUAUCUAUAAAAACUUUAAAAGGGCGGUUGUCGAUGCAUAUGUCUAUAAAAAAUAUUGCAGAUCUCGUUGAGUUGAUCUUGAUAUAGGUCAGCGUUGGAGGGGAAACCACUUCACUGACAUAAAUUGAUGGUUUCCCAAGAACAAGCUUAGUGUCCUAAAAUAAGCACUGAUCAGAUUGUAACAUGAGCUUUUAAUUAUUUGCAACAUUACCUUGUGUGUUGAGCAUAUAAGGAUAAUUGUAAAGAUAUUCCUUCGGGUAUUCUUGUCACUAACCUUUACAGGAUUGGAGCAAGAAGAUUGGAUGAAUGACAAGCACAAGGUAUGUCCAACCAAUCAUCAUACAACAUUGAAUUAAAUUCAUCCAAACUUGAAUUUUGCAAAAUUCAAGCUUGGGGGAGUACUUUACAUAAAAACAUCCUUUGCCAUGUUGCUAUAUUGGUUGACACUACCAUUGAGACAUGCUCAAUUUGUUAAAUACUAAUCACACUACUUCAUCUCCACUUGAGUAGAUCUCUAUAAAUGCUCUCAUGCUACCUUUAUUUGCUUUAGUAUAUGUCUAGGUUUGGAGUAGUUUCAUUUAUCUCUUAAUUGAGCUUGGUGCUUAGUUUAGGAAUGAUGAUCUUACUUGCAAGGGGUUUUAAAUUAAGCAUGGUGCUUAGGUUAAAAAAAGCCCUCCUGAAUCAAAUUAGACAUGGUGUCUAGGUUGAUUUUUGAGCCGAUAGUAUGCUAUAGUAGAUAUGGGAUAUUUUGUUGGACUAACCCCUAUAGGAAAACUUUCACUAUCGACCUGGGAAGUCCUGAGAUACACUCACAUUUUUGACAAAGAGAGAGGCACAUGAAGUUUAACAAUUUACACAAGGAAGGCAUAGCUCACAAGAGAUGAUCCAUGGAGGGUGCCACAAACACGAUGCACAACCGCUGAGAAAGGAAAGCUUCCACAAGGUGAUACUGUACCAUCACUCUUCAAGUAAGGUAACAUCUUAAGGUACUUAACUAUCACUUUUAUAAGCUUCUCCUUGGUUCUGGUGUUCACAUGAAUAAAAGAGACAAACAUGUAUGAUUUAUAAUUCUAGAUUAAUCAAUCCAAUCGAUUCAACAUGUUUAGUCCUUCCACCUUUGUGAUCCCACAAUCCUAAUCAUAUGAGCUAAAAUGUUGCACACUCAAUCUUUGGAAAAUGAUAGUCAUGUAAAGAAAAAAACAUUUACUUAGAUAGAUUAUCUUUCCAUAAGGUUGAGUGAUCUGAUCUGACAAAUGUUUUAAGUAUUACACUCAUGGUCUUAUUAUCCAUCAACUUUGUCUUGCUCACUAUGCUUAAGGUUAGAGAGAACAAAUACACUUUUGGUUCUGCUAGUGUUUUCCACCAACAGGGCCUAUGCACUUGAUCUCUGCCUUGUCUCCAUGAGCAGGUACACUUGGAGCAAAAUAUGAAGGACUUUUACAACUCCCAGACUCCACCAAGUGAAGAACCUAGAUCAACGAGUACACACACUAGAGAUACUGGACACUCAGGCAAUCACUGCCCUGAGAUGCUUGAGGACGCAAACUACAUCAACAAGAAACUACCACAACCGUCCUCAACAAAAUCAAGGUUGGAAUCAACAAAGGCCAAACUACUCAGAGGCGAUCCAGGACGUCCCGUCAUCCCGAUCUCCAUCGGCAUGGUGGACUUCCUAGAAGCACUCUGCGACUUUGGCUCCAGCGUCAACAUUAUGCCCAAGCCUGCAGAUCAGACACUAAGUUUCCCAAAGGGAAUAUUGAAGAACCUCUGCGUUCGAGUUGGUACCUUGUACGCCCCAGCAAACUUCGUGGUGAUAGAGACUGGUACUGAUGAGAGGGCACCCAUCUUAGGGAGGCCAUUCCUGAACACCUCGGGAGCUGUCAUCUACGCUAGUGCUGCCAAGAUCAGUUUCUACAUCAAAGGGAGAAAUGAGACAUUUUCCUUCAAGAACAAGACUACACAAUCUCAAAGCAUUCCCGACAUAAACCAAGGAAGAGGACCAACAGGAGGAACAGGAACAAGCAAGUGUGGACCGAGUCAGCUAAGAUGGUCACUGCAGUUCAAGGAGGUCAAGAUCAUCUAUUUAAGUCACCGUUCCUGACCAAAAAGGACGACUCAGUCACCUAUCAGCUUCUGUUAGGAACCAUGCCCUUAAAACCGACAUACACCCAGCUCCAGAUGGCAGAUCAAACAUUUUGGAAGGUUGAAGUUAUUGACAUAGGAGAAGACGAGUAUGAUCCACCCAUCAUCUUUGGAAGACCGUUCCUCAACACCGUUAAAGCAAUCAUCUACAUUGGAACCGGCGGAGUCCACAUGCACUUCCCCUCUGAAAUGGUACGCCACUAUUUUACUAACCUUAACUACAUAGUUGAAAGACUCUAAGCAGGUGAGGACAAGAAGAAGACGACGCAACCGCAACCAGAGUGGGCAAAUUAUCAAGGACGAAUGGGCGGAUUAUGAAGGAGAAGUGGUAAGGUCUGAAGACAUACAACUUGAACAGAACUGUCCUGAGGAGACCGUAGCACCGUGUCAGGUGUGGAGAGAGAAGAUAGUUAUACAUGAAGACCAGGCGCUGCCGGAACCACUGACUACGCCAUCCAGCGAAUCCCAGGACAACUGAGAAAAUAGAGAGUCACGUUCGGAGGACUUAAAAACACCGAACGCCUUGGUAAGAGUUAAACUUGGUACUUAUCCUUUUUCCCUUUCAAUUAUUUAAAAUAGUUUGCUUAGUUAAUCAGGUUCAUAUCAUCUUAAAAAGAAAAUAAAAAUGUUAAAAACAGUAAGCCCCAUGUGAGUAUGCUCAUGGCAUAAAACCCAUAAGUACAUUCACUGUGGUGGCAUAAAAAUAAAAUAAAUAUAUUUCUGUCCUAUAAAAAUAAAAUUAUAAAAAUAAAAUUAUGAUCCUACUAAUGAGUAACAUUUAUUGAGGAGGCUCAACAUGAUAAAGGCUAGAUAUUUAUGCUAACACUUAACUAGUUCCACAAAGCUUUGUUGUCUAUUUGAGCUCCACAGAAUUCAAGGAUUAAAGAAGACUAGCAGACGAAGGACAUCCUAAUCGCUGUCAGAGUGCUGCCGACAUUCAAAGACACCUCCGCCACCUGCUAGCUACAUCAGAAGAAAUUAUGUCAAAAUCCAGCUUGGGGGAGAGCACCCCCAUUUAUCCAGCUAAGUGUUCUACUCACGUUUAUACUUUACUCAAAUAAUAAAAAAGAUGCAUAAUCAUAAAAACCCAAAUAAAGAUUUUAUGCUUAUAUAUAUAUCUUUGCUUAGUUUGCUAAAUAAAAAAAUAAAUCAAGAUAAGUAUUAUUUUUCUUUCUUAGUUUUAUUUACUAGUAUUCGGAAAUAAAAAAAAUGCAUAACCAUGAAACCAAACACAAUUUUUAUUUUGAGUAAUAUAUAAUAGUUUUAUGUAAUACUAAGUUUUAAAUAAAAUAAAAAGAAAGUUUGAUUCAAGUCUAGGUAAUUGACAAACAUGAUAUGAGAAGGUCUGAGCUACUAUUUAACUUGUUCUAAGUUUUGCUAGAGUUCUAGAGAUUUUAUCUUUUGAAAAUCUAAAAAUUCAUAAAAAAAAUAUAUGAGAUCAUAAUACCUAGAGUCUUAUAAGAAAUAAAUAUUAAAACUGUGGGUACUUUCUUUGUUCAAGCCAUUGUUAAUUCUGGUAGUUUUGGUUGAGAGAAUUAUCAUGCUCCCAAGAUCAAGAUCUUUUUGUUUUAAAAAUAUAAAAGAUUCACUCUUCCGAAGUAUUAUUGCGUUAGAGGCAUGGGACUAUGCAAAAAUUUGAUUCGAAAAAAAAGAGUGAGAUGAGAGGUAAAAAUGGACAAGUGUCCGAAGUAGAAUUAGGGGUACAAAGAUACCCACCUGAGUGGAAAAAAAUGGACAUGUGUCCGACAGUAGAAUUAGGGGUACUUGCUGCCCACUUGAAAAAAAAAGAGACUAAAAAAAAGAGAGAAAAAAAAGGGAAAAAAAAUGAUAGCCCAUGGUCCCUCUAAUAAGCAAUAUGCCAGUAAGAGAUGACAAACUCUUCAAAAAGGUCAAAGGUCUUGAUCUAGGAGUAUGACAUUCCUCUCCCUUGCUCCGAGCAUUGACAUAGCAAAAUGCAAAGUAAGUAUGCUAAAAUUUUUAAAGCUCUACUUAUAUAUCUUUCGAGAAGAAGGCAAAUGCCUCAGAUUUAUUUUGGAAACUUACAAACAACUCCAGAACAAAGGUAAGACAGAAGAACUUGAGACAUAGUGCUUGACUUGAUCAUUCUGUUUUUCAAUCACUUAAGACCUUAGUGAUAACUUAAAACCCCUUUAGUAAAAGGCAUAAAAGUAACCCCUGUUUUCUUGAUGAUUUUAGCUUUGCUCAGGGACGAGCAAAGGUUAAGCUUGGGGGAGCUUGUUGACGGUCCUUAAUGCUCACAUUUAACCAUCAACUAAUCAUAGAAAAUGACUUAAAUGCAACCAACACCCAGACUUAGGGUUUUAUCUGACAGAAUUCCACGAGUUUUGGUGUUUGUCUAUUUCUGCAGGGUGUUAUCAGGAAAUACGGAAGAAAGGCCCACACGUCGGGAUUACAUAGAGAUAUUAACGUGCCGCGCAAUUUUCUAUCAUCUAGAAGACUCCAGAAGCCACGAGACCGAAGCGGAGGCCGAGCGGGCUCAGGCACUGGGCGCCCGCCCUACCUUACUGGGCGCCCGCCCUCCCCCCUGGACAAAACAGAGUCCAAUUCGGGGACAACGCUCCACCGACCUAAAGGAUUAAGGAAAACCACACGAUCAAUGUCGUUUUGAUCCGACGGCCCAGAUUCACUUGAAGGGACUAUAAAACCAGACCCCCCUGGCCCCUGGAGAUCAUACCUCUUCUACAGAAUCAAAGCUAGGGUUUCAAUUCUUCAUCCAAGUAGAGAGGAUCCCUCUAGUUCUUCUAGUUCUACCUCUAGUUCAUCUAGAUCUAGUUCUAGUUCCUCUUGUUCUAGUUCUAGUUCUUCUAGUUCUAGUUCUAGUUAGUUCUAGUUGUAAUCUAGAAAAUAGGGAGAGAGAAGAGGAGAGCGGAGGAGGAGCCAGAUCUGUCGGAUCUUCCUCAACAUUGUACUUUUGCAGCAACUGGUUCGUUCUUCAUCGUUCUUCAGGUUCUUCAAUUCAUAACUCCUGAGUUCUCUAAUUACUUUUAUUUACAUUCAAGUUAUUUAUUGGAUUCCCGCUUGCAUCAAGUGCUCUAGUCUUUAUAACGCUAGAGUAGUAAUUAAUAGAUUAGACGUGGUGUUUAGUCUUGCGAUUACCUGGAAUUGCACCCAAUCCUACGGAUUGUUGUGGUAGCCCUAGGGUAGUGACAGCCCUAACGGUCGACGUAUUCCACCACGUUCGGAUCGGUGUUUGUAGGACCGUAGUCAGACCUUCCUAGCCCCCUUCUCAUCUCUUUCCGUGGUUAGUGCUCUGAUGUCCCGAUAUAGAUAAUCUUGAAGUAAUUCUUGAUUCUUAGAUCAACUAGAGAACUCUCAGGAAACUUCCUCUCUUCCCACCAAAAAUAAUUAUAUAGUUAUCCUUGGGCGAUCUUCGAUCUUAAUUAGUACACUCACGUUCUCUGUGGAAAAUUGAUACUCUGGAAUACUCCCGGGUGAAAGCUACAUCGGUAUCCGUGCGCUUGCGGAUUUUCUGUUUGCGUUUAAAAUACCCAACAAUUGUUAUCCUGAAUUCCUUGUUACCUAUUUAGAUAUGCAUGUGGAUAGUUCUUGCUAGCGCUUGAUUAUUAAUCCAUGAUCUUGUGACAUGAAUAUUUGAAUAUACAAUAAACAAUAAAAUAAGCUUUCUAGCAACUUGAUUAUAAAGGGUGGAAAGAACUCUGGCUUUAGUUGGAUUGAUCUUGACCUCCAUAAGGACUUAUCCCUUGGCAAAAGCUGGGAUAACUCGUACAACCAUGAGGGAUAUAUGGCUCUGGCUUUAGCUCAAUAUAAAGACCUUUUCUAGCUAGUUAGAGGUUACCCGAAAGGGCGCUAGAGGGGCUGAACCGACACGGGUGUAGUGCGAGCCCCUGUCCCUAUGUGUAUAGGCUGCGCGUCAUUGUGCCAUUCGGAAGGGGGUAUCUAUAUCUGCUCGCGAAGGAAACCUUGCGGCCCUAACAUGUUAGACGAACUUUUGAAAGGCUUCAUAGUGAUCCCUGCCGACCUCCCUAGGAAGGGGGUUAAGAGACUAGCUACCUCGGGCGAAAGGGUAAAUCAUGACUCAUGGGUAAAGAUGUACAACCUCUGCAGAGUGUUAAAUCUGGUAUACUAGCCGUGCCCACGGAUACGGUCUGCUCGGAAAACUGACGGAAUAGUUGGACACUGUUGAACAUGAUUAAUGAUAAUAAAUGACGGUUUAUUAUGUUGUUUAUAUGUGUUAUUCUUAAUUCUUGUAUACAUUGAUCAUAUGGUUAUGAGAUUAUUUAUGCUACCUUGAUAUCUGCUAUCCAAUGAUUAAACAUGCUAUCCACUAUUAAAAGCUAUGCAGUCAAACCAGUGUCAGCUAUUUUGAGCCUCAUGAACCCCUAGUUAUACUUGUUGAGUACGAUAUGUGCUCACUCUUGCAAUUUCCCAACACCCCAGGUUAUGCAAGUGAUGAUGUUUGGAAUGAGGACUACCGCUAUGAGUAUUAGGUUUGGAGUCUACCAGUCAACAGUGUCCCUGUGUGGUGCUUCCGUCGAGAGCGUUGUUUACUUUAUGCUAUCAUUUUUGUAUGAGACUAUGUGAUAUAUUAUGUUCCGCUAUGUAAUAAACACUGCAAUGGUACAUUUGAGAUUUGUCUACUUAUGUGUGUGACUGUUUCUGGGGCACAUAUGAGUCUUUUAUGCAUCCUAUUUUGUUAUUAAAAUAUGGGUGUGACAUAAGAUAAAACUAAAAAGAUGAAUAACUAUAGAAACCCAAUAAAGAUUUUUUUAUAUUUCAUAAUUUGUUUUGCUAGCUAAGGAGAGCUCUUAAUGAAUCUGUUAUAAUGAACCUCUAGAACAAACUCUUAUAUAGAGAUGAUGAAUAGUUGCUCUGCCAUAAUUCCUUGCAAGUACCUAGUUUUUAACCUUGUACUCUCCUGUGUUUUAGACACAACUAUUAGACUUAAGAUUUUGCUCUGAGCCUAAAACUUGUGGGUACCAAAUGCUUGAAAUAAGUCUAGGUAGUUGACAGAUAUGAUAUGGGAAGGUUUUGAGCUGCUAUCAAUCUUGCUCCUAGAGAUACUAGAGUUCUAGAGAAUUUUAUUUGAAAAUCUUAAAUUGCUAAAUGAUGAGUUCCUUUAUGACAAGAGUUAAAAUGCCUACCACAGCCAAAUACUCAUGCUUGUUAGAUUAGGAAGACCUUCCACUUAUGUUUCAACCUAUAAGCAUUGAGGUUAGUUAAGCUAUGUUGACCCUAAGGAACUAGUCAUGCAGAUAAAGUCAAUAAUAUGUGCUCUCCAUCCAUUGAACUUAGCUACUUCUAUCAUUAGAAGUAUGCAACCACCACAUUCACUAUGUGCUACUUCUAUUCCUAGAAGUACCACCCACAUAUAUGCACUACACUAUAUGUUGCUCCUACCCUGGGAGUACGCAUUCACCCAUCCACAUUCCAUAUCCACUCAGAAAAUGUUCUACUCCUACAAUGGGAGAAGACACCCAAAAAUAUUCAUUAUGUCUUAUUCUACUUUUCCAAUAAAGCUCCACUUAUUCUAGUUGAUACUCCCUAUUGCUAUUAGUGCAUUAAAAGGGUUGGCUGAUCUAAAAAAGAGAAACAGAAAAGAAAAGAAAGAGGACAAAAGUCCCAAAAGAAAAGAAAGACAGUCAAGUCCUUAUUCUCAUAUUAGGGAGGUAUCUUAUCCCCAAGGAGCAAUUGUAGAAUUAGAUAUUCACUAUCAGUUAUCACCCCCAUUAUCACCGUCAUUCUUAUCAUUCACUACACUCACAUGCACAUAUGACUUGAUUGUAUAAUUCAUCUCUCUGGAUCCAUGGUUUAACUAUGCAAUACAUGCAAGUAGGUUUGAAUUGUCUCUCCCACCUAUAAGCUCCACAUAAGCCUAUUAGAAGUAGGGUGAGAGAGAGAGAAGGCAACUAUGCCUUAGUCCUAUAAAAACUACAUAUUCUAAGAGAAGAGAAAAUACAUACCUUACGCUUGCUUUGAGAGGAUCCAAAAAUACUACAUAUGAGAGACUGGAAAGGGUCAUACAAGGAAACUUUGAGUUUUAUUUAAAAAUCUUGCAAAAACUCUGGAAUAAUAGUGAGAAACAUAGUGCUCGACUUAACCAUUGUCUCUCAACUGCUCAAUAUCUAAGAGAAGGCUAUAAGUCCCAUUGUGAAAGGUAAUAUGAGUGAGCCUUGAGUUGGAAUAGUUCACUCUAAUCUGGAGGAGAGUCCUUGUUUGAACAUAUGUGUACUUGUGAGGCAUGAGAGUAUUGCAACAACUCAUGAUCCACUGCUAAGUUUGGUUCUGCUCAGGGACGAGCAAAGGUUAAGCUUGGGGGAGUUUGUUGACAAUAGUUAACUUUAACUAUCAACAUAACUUUUAUAACUACAAAAAGAUGCUCACCAACAUAGGUCUAGGGGUUUGAACUUACAAAUUCCAUGAGUUUUGGUGCAUCUAUGUUUUGUAGGGGUUACACAGGAAAAGAGCUAAAGGCAAACUAAUCAUUGAAUAAAAGUAUCUCAAAUGAUGAAUUGGACUACACUAUUGCGACGGGCUCAUCGAGCCGAUCGAAAUCCAUAUAUCAUUUGUGUAAAAGAACCGUCCAAAUUAUAAGACAUUAAUCCUAAUAGUGACCAUUUGUAGAGUCAAACCACCGAGCUUAAGCCCAUAUAAUCCCGGUAGUCCGUGAAAUCUCGAAGGAUUUCAAGCCACAAUUCGUACGUACAGCCAAGAAUGUAAUAAGUUCAGCGGUCACCAUUCACAAUUACAUCCAGUUCACAACAUUCAUAAAAUACAUCAGAGCACUUAAAAUUAUUGCAAACCAAGUUCUCAAGUAGCGGAAGCUUCAUAGUUUGAAAGUAACGCACACAUAUAGUCUAAUACAGUGCCAUAGUUCGAUCAUUCCCACAAAAGCAAAAGAGAAGGUAGAGUGACCAUCGCCCUUGGUCUAGUCAUCACCCAUUGCUGGGUACAAGCAGAGGAUGCAAUAACCAUAGUACAUUUGACCAUCUGCAAAACAACAUGGGAAUAGAACCCUAAGUACGAGAAUUUACUCAGCUAGACUUACCCGUCAUAAACCAAAAAUAAAGACUCUUCAAGGAUCAUGAAGGCUGUAUGGUGGGGUUGCUAAGACUUUUUGCAUAAAAGCAUUAUUCCACUAAAACAUAGCCUAGAGACCUUUCUUCUUUUAAUUAGCUCAAGUUUGAUAUUAUCAUUACCUAUUAUCUAGGUUUGCACCUGUACUAUUGCAAACAAGUGUAGUAAUAUGAUGGUACCUCAUCAUAGCAUUCAUUAAUUGUUUAUCAUCAUAACCCAAGUGUUCCAUAGUCCUUACUACGAGGACAGGGCUCAUGUCAAGUGCUCACUAUCUAGGAGUGAUGGCGAUUCGAAUCGAUUUCUGACCAGCUGGCGAGUUAUUCCCCACACAAACCACACUCACUGAUCAAGUGAGCUACAGAUCACCGUGUUACACUAUCCAAGACCAAAUCGCAGGUUCGGCAGGCACCGCCAGUACCCGAGGACCGUUCCAGCGACCGAGGUAUCCAAGGUAUACCAAGGUUGCGCGCCGCGCCCUCGUCGUUCUCCUCAACCAUCACCAAUACAGCGCAUGGCGGCUCAACUCCCGGCCCGGAUAGUGUUCAGGCUUCGCGGUCGGAAUGACUUAUCCUUCCAGCUAGGUGUGGGGCAUGCGUUCAACAUGACAAGAGGGCCGUCAACGAUCGGUCCUUAACCAACACAGGCAGGGGCACUACGGUCAACCCCACUAUAAGACCCUACCUGGUCUCAAUUUCCUUUCCACACUUGGUUAUUUUUCCCCAUAGCAAUUACAGCUAAUCAAACAGGUGUCCACCUAUAUCUCGUAGGUGACAGGGAAUCACACGACUUCUACCGGACUAAGCAAGCUAAGCAUAGACUUCGUGCCUAUCUACAUAGGACAAGGUAGAUAAACAAGUAGUGAUAUCAAGGAGUACAUAUGCAUCAACGGUAUCAAGUAAUUCCUAUCACUUCAAGACAUGCAACCACACCAAACUGUAGAUCUGAAAUUAUAGAUCACCUCAAAAUUUAUUUCAUCAAUUUUGGAGCCAUAUAUCUCAAGAUAUGGAUUUUAUAUCAUUUAAACUAUUUUUUGGAAAUUAUUUUCUGAAAAACCAAUUCAAAUCCACCCCCCAGACCAGCUAGGUGAACCCGAUGCAGUGCACCCGCGGCCACUGACGAGCGGACCCGCCUGCCAGCCGGGCCCGCUGGCCAGAACGCAGAGAGGGGAGAACUCCGGCGAGCCGGAGCUCACCGCCGGCGACCUCUUUCGACGAACCAAACGGCCCUACGCGUUCUACGGCUCAAGGUGAACUCGGCGAACCCUUUUGCGUGGCCUGAAACGGACCGGAGCAAGCUCGCCACCGGCCAUGGCGGAAUGGCGGCACUGCUCGCCACGGUCCGGCCACCUCGCGGCGGUAGAGCGUGCGCUAACGGCCGGAAUAGGUGCGCAAGGCUAAGGCGAAGCUAACGCGCCUAAAAACGCAAGAAAUGGCAGAGUAGAGAGGGAGAACCGCGUGGACCGAGGGGUCGCCGGAGUUCCGACUCACUCUGGUGAGCUUUACCGGACGCGCGAAACUCACCGAGCGCGGUUGAGCGCGAGCUCAAGGUGCGGAAGGAUGAGGCAGAGCCGAUGGUGGUCGCGGAGAGGAAGGGGGAGGCCGGAGCUGGCCGGGAGAGAAGCUCCAAGCCGUCGGCGACGAUGGCGCGCGGCGGAGCGGCAGCUGCUGCGCGCGAGCGAGAGAAGGCCGGAGGCGGACGCGGCUAGGCGCUCCUGGUGGCCGACCAGGGCGUGUCCAGGCUGCCGCAUGCUCGCCACGCGGCGGCCGAGCUCUGCCGGCGCGCCACGGCGGCACGACGCGGUCGUCCGUGCGCGGGCACGGCGCGAUCGCGGGGAAUGGUGAAAGGUCCUUGUUUGGUUUUGGUAAUUGAGUGACAACUUAGGUGGACUAAUAGUGUUUAUGUGAGAUACACAGGAGAUUAGUCCACAGGUGAUGAUGUGGUGAUGGAGGAGCUCAUUGCAUAUGAGACAUGACAUGGAGUCAUGUGACCAAGAUGGAGAAGAUCAAGAUGAGGCUUGGCUCGAUGGACCGGUUGCAAGAGUGAAGGGCAAGUUGGAGGCUUUGAGGCGAGGGACCGCGUGUGACGGUGAAGCUUGAGCAAGAUUUGGCGCCAAUGGACCGAGGCAACGUUGAAGAGCAAGUGAGGUCAAGAUUGAUGAACCAAUACGGUCACGUGAUGAUAUGAAGUGGAUCAUAUCAUUUGGUGGUUGCUUGGGGCAUGUGUUGCAUCAACAUUGAAGGAGAUGGAAUGGAAUGCGCAAGGCAAAGGUAUAACCUAGGGCAUUUCCAUUUCACCGGUCAUAGGUGUGUAGAGAAGUUUAUGACCGGAUUUAGGAUAGAUGGCCGUACUAUCAAGAGGGGCAAACUUGUUUGCAUAUCGGUCAUCUAGUGCCACUUGAGCGAUCUAACUUUGCAUACGUGUUAGGAUCGAGUGGCGUGGCAAGUUUGAGAGGCUAACUCCUUUGGGAAAAUGUUUGUGAAAAUGCUAACACUCGUGCACUUGUUGGUACACACUUUGUGGUGUUGGCACACCUUAAGGAGGUAGAAAUUUUCCUUUGUGCCGGUGGAAAGUCUCUUGUGCACUAGUGGAAAGUUUCCUGUAUGCCGGUGGAAAGUUUCUUGUUUACCGGUGGAAAAUUUCUUGUGCGCUAGUAGAAAGUUUCUUGUACACCGGUGGAAAGUUUCUUGUUUGCCAGUGAAAAGUUUCCUGUGCGCCAGUAGAAAGUUUCUGACUGAAAACUCACACCGGACGUUAGGCACCGGACGCUGCCUCGAAGCGUCCGGUGCGCUCUCGGUUGCUAGCUUAGGUGAGAAUUGUGCACCGGACGAUCAACACCGGACGCUGGCUGAACGUUGUUGGUGCGUCCGGUAUCCGUGAGCGUUUACGGUGUUCUCUGAGUAAGCGUCCGGUGCCGACCUGGUGCGUCCGGUGGUAGCGUCCGGUGAUCCUGCGUUUUGACAAACUCUCUGCGUAUGCGUCCGGUGCGCACAGGACGCGUCCGGUGGUGCUGUGGAGGCGCGCGUAGGCAGUAGCCGUUGGCGACAAUGGUCGAGUUCAAACGGCUAGUGACACGUGGCUGUUUCUGGAGCACCAGACGCACUGUUCCUGUUCCAGCGUGCGGUGGCUCCUGCAGUGAGUCCGGUGCCCCGGUUUUUGCCCAGUGAAGGGGCAACGGCUAGUUUAGCCCUUGGGGCUAUAAAUAGAAGUGGUGGCCGGCCUUGGCUGGUGCUGAGCACCCUUGGGACUUAGUGUCUAUGCUUGGAGAGUGCUAGUAAAGCCUCUAACUCACAUAUGCUUGAUAGUGAUUAUUCGAUUGUGUGAGUGAGCGAUUCUAGUGCGUUGCAUUGAGAGAUUGCAUCGAGUGGCACUAGGUGUUCGUGUUGCAAGCUAGUGGUGCUUGUUACUCUUGGAGGUUGCCACUGUUGACGGUCCUUAAUUACCAAAUAUAAUCAUCAAAUAAAUAAAGAAAAGGAUCCAAAUGCAACCAACUCCCAGACUUAGGGUUUUAUCUGACAGAAUUCCACGAGUUUUGGUGUUUGUCUAUUUUUGCAGGGGGGUUAUUAGGAAAUACGGAAGAAAGGCCCACAUGUUGGGAUUACAUAGAGAUAUCAACACACCGCGCAAUUUUCUACCAUCUAGAAGACUCCAGAAGCCACGGGAAGAAAGCAGAGGCCGAAAGGGGCCAGGCCAAGGGCGCCCGCCCUGAGGACCUAGGCACCCGCCCUCUGUUGGAUGCCAAUCACGACUCUCUUCGCACACGACGUUCCACCGACCUAAAGGAUCAAGGAUAACAUAGUACCACAUCACCUGCUGGACCAAAAACGCACAAAGGAGGAGGACUAUAUAAGCAAGGGCCCUGGCCCCUGGAGGAGAACAAGUUUAUCAUAGAGUUGAGGGGUGCCCUCGAAGGAAAACCUCUUAUCUAAAUAGAAUUUAUUUUUAGGCUUAGCAACCAAUGUAAGUAGAAAUAGAUCUUCUAGUUUCUACUAGAUUGAGAGAUAUAGAGUGGAGGUGUAGAUCGGAGGAAGGCCGGCCUGUCGGUGUCUACUCCGAGGUUGUACCUGUGGGAUCAAGUCUCCUAACCUGAGGCUUGCUCCUAAGAUUCUUCAGUAAUUCGACUUCUAAUUCUAGUAAGUUCUUGUUUUAUUGUUCUUUGGUUUAUGAGUUUACUUUAAUCCUCUUCCGGUUGAGUAUUAGAGUAAUCAUUGCUAGCGUAAACGUGGUGUUUAGGCUAGGGUACUCAUAGAUAUCCCCUGACUAGCUGGACUGUGGUAGUAGCGAGGAUCGUGACAUUUCUGAGUUACCUUUGUAUCCCAUAUCUUGUUAGCAGGACGGGUAGGGUUUAUAGGUGCGGGUCGAACAUCCUUUGUGGUGUCUAGAUUCCGUAAGCUUCCCCAAUAGAACAGUAGAUCAUCCUUGCCAUGGUUAGAACGAGACUACGGUUGCAGUCUUCUCUAUACACCGCUCACAUCGAGAAACAUUCUUUGUAGCCUAAAGGGAUAGUAGCAAUAGAUUUGGUUAGUCAGAUGCACCCUUUCUCCCAGUGGUAAAAAUAUAAAUACGAUACUCUAGAAAACCUCCCGGGUGAAAUGCUCACCGAUAUCCGUGCGCUUGCGGAUCAUUUCCUUAUUGCGUUACCAAAUAUCAACAAUCAUUUCUGGCGCCGUUGCCGGGGAGAAAGACAGUUUGCUGAGAUAACUUUGAGUCUUGCUAUUAUCUUGUAUUAUACUUUUAUACUUUUAUUCUUUUAUCUUUUUAUUUUUAUCUUUAUGGAUAACUCAAAUUCCAUACCUAUUAUUAAAUUCUUUGCACCUUCGGAGACCUGUCAUAGACCAUGGGAGUCAACACGUCCUACCCCUAAUUAUGAUCUGUGUCCGGAGUUGAUUGCAAUAGGUCAAAACCAACCCUUUUCUAUAGCUGAGGUCCUAUCUUUUAAUCAAGAAGAUAAUGCACUUUUAGCUACACCUAGGGAAUCUUUUAA
rnacentral:lncRNA from 1 species